UGGCGGACGGGUGAGUAACGCGUGGGUAACCUACCUCAUACAGGGGGAUAACAGUUGGAAACGACCGCUAAUACCGCAUAAGCCAACAGAACCGCAUGGUUUAGUUGGAAAAGAUUGAUCGGUAUGAGAUGGACCCGCGUCUGAUUAGCCAGUUGGCAGGGUAACGGCCUACCAAAGCAACGAUCAGUAGCCGGCCUGAGAGGGUGAACGGCCACAUUGGGACUGAGACACGGCCCAAACUCCUACGGAAGGCAGCAG
rnacentral:rRNA from 1 species